rfam:Ictidomys tridecemlineatus contig092052, whole genome shotgun sequence.
GGGGAUGUAGUUCAGUGGUAGAGUGUGUGCUUAGCAUGCACAAGGCUCUGGGUUCAUUACCUAGCAUCUUUU